rnacentral:lncRNA from 1 species
GCGGUUACUCCUCAUCCUUGCAGAUGGUAGACCAGGAGGGUUGAUCCAGGACCAGCUCCUGUUUCUCCAAGCAGAGGCGCUGCAGCCAGGCCAGGUCUUCGGCACAAGGCUGUGAGGCCAGUUCCUUUUUUUAAAAAAAAUAAUAUUUAUUAAAGUUUCACAAAAAUACAUGAAAAUACAGAAUAAAGAAAAAGUAUAAAGUUUUAAGAUAUAACAAAAAAAAGUAGAAAAUAAGGGAAAAAAACAUACAAAAUAAAACAGUUCAAAACACAAUAAUGUUCCAUAACCUAUCUUCCUUACUCUUAUUUCCCCGGACCUCCUCAUACCUCCCUUCUUUGUAUUCCAAUUCAAUUUUUUGGUUCAGCAAAUCCUUACCAUUAAUCUUUUACCCAAUUGUUAACCUUUUUUUCCAUGUCUCUUAAAGCAUUACAGCUAAAAACCUCUUAGUUUCUAUCCAACAUCCUUCUAAAGUUCCUUAAUUUUGCAAUAUUUCUGUAAAUAGUCCUUAAAUUUCUUCCAGUCUUCUUUCACCGACUCUUCUCCCUGGUCUCGGAUUCUGCCAGUCAUUUCCGCCAGUUCCAUGUAGUCAAUCACCUUCAUCUGCCAUUCUUCCAAAGUGGGUAGAUCUUGUGUCUUCCAAUACUUUGCGAUAAGUAUUCUUGCUGCUGUUGUAGCAUACAUGAAAAGGGUUCUGUCCUUCUUUGGCACCAAUUGGCCGACAAUGCCCAAGAGAAAGGCCUCUGGUUUCUUCAGAAAGGUAUAUUUAAAUACCUUUUUCAGUUCAUUAUAUAUCAUUUCCCAGAAAGCCUUAAUCUUUGGGCACGUCCACCAGAGGUGAAAGAAUGUACCUUCAGUUUCUUUACAUUUCCAACAUUUAUUAUCGGGCAAAUGAUAAAUUUUUGCAAGCUUGACUGGGGUCAUGUACCACCUGUAUAUCAUUUUCAUUAUAUUCUCUCUUAAGGCAUUACAUGCCGUAAACUUCAUACCUGUGGUCCAUAACUGUUCCCAGUCAGCAAACAUAAUAUUAUGUCCAACAUCUUGUGCCCAUUUAAUCAUAGCAGAUUUCACCGUUUCAUCCUGAGUAUUCCAUUUCAACAGCAAGUUAUACAUUCUUGACAAAUUUUUAGUUUUGGGUUCUAACAAUUCUGUUUCUAAUUUUGACUUUUCCACUUGGAAGCCUAUUUUCUUAUCCAAAUUAUAUGCCUCCAUUAUCUGAUAGUAGUGGAGCCAAUCUCUCACUUUAUUUUUAAUUUUUCAAAACUCUGCAAUCUCAAUUUAUCUCCUUCUUGCUCCAAAAUUUCCCAAUAUGUCGGCCAUUUGGCCUCCAUAUUGAGCCUUUUCAGAGCUUUUGCUUCCAUUGGUGACAGCCACCUUGGGGUUUUAUUUUCCAAUAAGUCUUUGUAUCUUAUCCAGACAUUAAACAAUGCUUUCCUAACAAUAUGGUUUUUGAAUGCUUUGUGUGCUUUGACCUUAUCAUACCAUAAAUAUGCAUGCCAUCCAAAUACAUAAAUAUGCAUGCCAUCCAAAUACAUUGUUAAAACCUUCUAAAUCCAAAAUAUCUGUGUUUUCAAGAAGUAGCCAUUCUUUCAGCCAGCAAAAAGCUGCUGAUUCAUAAUAAAGCCAGGUCUUCGGCACAAGGCUGUGAGGCCAGCUCCAGGCACCUUCUUCAUCAUCAAGGUCCGGUGGAGCAUUGAUUUCAGUCUCAGAAGGUGAAGAGGACUUCUCACGGCCAUCUACAUUUGGUGGAUAAGCACCCUGACUCGGCUGGGCUUGGCACAGUUCCAGAUGACCAUCCAGGUAGGUGGGCCAAGCCAAGCCAAUCUCACCUCAGGGUACAUAGUUCUCAACAGCUUCUGGAUUUAUUAUAAUACUUAACAAUGAGGUAUUGGAAAUUGGUGGGGCCCAGGGUUGGUGCAGGAUGUUUAGGAAGUCCAGGCAAAACAGAAAAUGCUGCCCCCACUACCAGACAGGUGGGAGGGGUGCCACUGCUGUGCACAGGACACCGACUACCCCUGGUGGGCAGCAGAAGAAACUUGAGUUGCCAGCUGUUUUUGGACUACAUCUCCCAUAAUCCAUAGCUAGCAGGACCAGUGUUCAGGGAUGAUGGGAACUGUAGUCUAAACUGGGAAACCCUUAUAUCACAAGGAAGUUUAAACAAAUUGAGCUUCCCACACAACACAGGCUUGUAGAGGGUUAGGGUUCUCAAAGACAUCACUCCUCUUAUAGUGCCAGGUGGGCCAUUCAUUAUUUUUUUUAAAAAGAUAUUUAUUAAAAUUUCAACAUAUUACAAAAAUGAGCGAAAAAAGAAAAAGGAAAGCAGAUAAAAAAAAAAGCUAUAAAAAUGGAAAAAUACAAAAUACAAAAUAAAAGCAGUUAAACAAACAGAUUAGUCUUUCUAUGACUUAUCUUUCAUUUACUUGUUUCCCCAACCUCCUCGCGCCUCCCUUUUUUGUAUUCCAGUUCACAUAUUUUGUUCAGCAGUUCCCUCCCCUCUUUUAAAAAUCCUAAUCAUUAAUCAUAAAAAUAUUGUACUUUUAGAUUUUUACAUAUUACAUAAUAAACCCUUUUUUCAUCUUCCCUUAUAACAUUUCAGCUAAGAACCACUUAGUUUUUAUCGAACGUCAUUCUAACAUUCAUUAAUUUUACAAUAUUUCUGUAGAUAAUCUUUGAAUUUCUUCCAAUCUUCUUCCACCGACUCUUCUCCCUGGUCUCAGAUUCUGCCGGUCAUUUCCGCCAGUUACAUAUAGUCCAUCAGCUUCAUCUGCCAUUCUUCCAAGGUGGGUAGAUCUUGUGUCUUCCAAUACUUUGCAAUAAGAAUUCUUGCUGCUGUUGUGGCAUACAUAAAGAAAGUUCUGUCCCUCUUUAACACCAAUUGGCCGACUAUGCCCAGGAGGAAGGCCUCUGGUUUCUUCAAGAAGGUAUAUUUAAAUACCUUUUUCAAUUCAUUAUAUAUCAUUUCCCAGAAAGCCUUAAUCUUUGGGCAUGUCCACCAAAGGUGAAAGAAUGUACCUUCAGUUUCCUUACAUUUCCAACGUUUAUUAUCGGGCAAAUGAUAGAUUUUUGCAAGCCUGACUGGGGUCAUGUACCACCUGUAUAUCAUUUUCAUAAUAUUCUCUCUUAGGGCAUUACAUGCCGUAAAUUUCAUGCCUGUGGUCCACAACUGUUCCCAGUCAGCAAACAUGAUAUUAUGUCCUAAAUCUUGUGCCCAUUUAAUCAUAGCAGAUUUCACAGUUUCAUCCUGAGUAUUCCAUUUCAGCAACAAGUUAUACAUUCUUGACAAAGUCUUAGUAGUGGGUUCUAACAGUUCUGUUUCCAAUUUUGAUUUCUCCACCUGGCCAGGUGGGCCAUUCAGACUCUACUUGAGAUCUCUAAUGAAGAAGAGCCCACCACCACCUUCCAAGAUUCAUCUGCCCAGAGCCAGGAAUGAUGGCCACAGAUCUCACAUGGUUCAAGAUCACCUGAGCCCAGCCCUGGCUAGGGAAGGCCCUGAUCGCUGCCUGCAGUAGCCUUUCUUUCAUGUGGGAGGAGGCCUUGAUUCACCCCAACAGUUGUUUUCCAGGAAGUGUGGGAGGCAGAGAGGGGAGCUAUUUCUAUUCUCUUCCCUUGUCUCCCUUUGUUUUCGCCUUGGCAUCUCCCCCUCCCCCUCUGCCCCCUGUCUCUCCUGGCACCCCACAUCAAAGCAAAACACAGAGGAACAUAAAUGGAACCGUCCCUUUAGACAUUUGCUUCAUCAAGCCCCGCUUUCUCCCUACAAAUCUGCAAUUAGUUUUUGUUCUGAUUAGGGUUUGCUUGCUAAUGAGAGACUCCCGAGGAGGCAGCUGGGACUUCCGAGGCAAGAGAGGCAGGCAAACACUUCAGAAUUAAUUGCCAAGGCAGGCUGUGGGGGCAGGGGAGGAGAGGCGGAGAGGGCAGCCUACCCAGGCACCAGGCACAUUCCUGCUGAAGCGGGGGAGCAGGCAGCAGGUUAGUCUGGACUCUCCAGAGGCCAAGAACACCUCCUGCCUGCAGGAGCUCCUCAAAUGGUUGGCAAAAAGAAUGAAAAAGGGAGAACCAUAGAAUAUUGCAGAAUUGGAAGGGACCCCAAGAGUCACGAAUCACAACUAAAGAAUCCCUACAGGGAGGGAAAUUCUUGCUGCUGCUGUUUCUAUUAUUCUAAAUAAGUGGAAACUUGUUUAAUCUAAGACCAUACCCUCCAACAUUUUGUGAUAAAAAUUCAGAGGACCCGCCCCACCACCACCCAUCUCCAUCGCUCGCCACCUGCCUGCCACUGACCCCUUCCUCACCCACCCACUCGCUGCUGCAACCCACUCAUUCACCCCCUCCUUUCCUCCCCCCUCUCUUAACUCUGCUGUCUUCAGCCUCCUGCUCAUGAGACGCUGCAUCUCCAGACACAGCGUGAUCUAGAGCAGACUCUGGGAAGAUGCCGUCUGCACUGCAUCUGGAAAAUUGGGGGCAUCCCUGAUUGGGAUCAGAGGCCAGGGCAGCUUCUGUCAAUUUGGGAUGUCCCAAUUAAAUCAGGACACUUGAGGGGUAUGCAAGACAGAGGCCGAUUCAGUGAGAAAGCCAGUGUCGGAUUAGGACCUUGGAGGAAAAAUACUUAUUAUAAGUACUUAUUAUAAAAUAAGUAAGUAAGUAUAAGAUGGGCAUCUGCACAUCGUCAGUAUUUUGGGGGGACUAAACUGCAUCCUGGAACUUCAGGUUUGUGCAUUUAAAGUGGAUCCAUCCACUUUUUAAAACAUGAACUGACUUUCUGCAGUUAGGUAAAUGGUGGAAAUGCACUGGAAUGCUCAAUAAAGCUCAGGCACAGUCUAGCAUCCUUGUAAGCAUUCUACAAGCAAAUCAGAACAAAUGUUCAAUCAUUCAUUCUGAUUUGUUUAUGGUGUAGAUAUAGGACUGUGAGCAUCUGUCCUGUGUUCCUCCUGAUUGGCUUGUGGGGGUUUACAUAUUUUCCAAUCCAUUAUUCAACCAACUCACACUUUUCAGCACAUUUCCAGGUCACUUUUGAUACCACAAAAAGUCUCACCUCUCUCUCUCUCUCUCUCUCUCUCUCUCUCUCUCUCUCGGAAGUGGGUUUAUUGUGCUUAGGGUGACAGAGUUCUUUAAUCCACUGUGCAAAUCUAAAUGUAUGGCCUGCCCUGGAAUCUCUCCUGCAAGACACUGGCAGUCUGGAGGAGCGCAAAGUGAGUGAAGGAAGCAGAACAGUUCCACCAUGCACAGCAAACACACAGCCCCCUCCCACGUGUCCCCCCAGCAGUUUAGGCCAGUUCCCCCUCCUCAUUCCCCACCCCCACCCAGCAUGCUUCUCAACACAAUGGUCUUCUAGAGGCAGUAAAGAGGAAACAGAGGAAGCCC